AGAGUUUGAUCCUGGCUCAGGACGAACGCUGGCGGCGCGCCUAACACAUGCAAGUCGAACGAGAGAGAAGGAGCUUGCUUCUUCGAUCGAGUGGCGAACGGGUCGGAGUAACGCGUGAGGAACCUGCCUCAAAGAGGGGGACAACAGUUGGAAACGACUGCUAAUACCGCAUAAGCCCACGGGUCGGCAUCGAUCUGAGGGAAAAGGAGCAAUCCGCUUUGAGAUGGCCUCGCGUCCGAUUAGCUAGUUGGUGAGGUAACGGCCCACCAAAGCGACGAUCGGUAGCCGGACUGAGAGGUUGAACGGCCACAUUGGGACUGAGACACGGUCCAAACUCCUACGAGAGGCAGCA
rnacentral:rRNA from 1 species